rnacentral:rRNA from 1 species
UGGCUCAGAACGAACGCUGGCGGCGUGCUUAACACAUGCAAGUCGAGCGGAAAGGCCCUUCGGGGUACUCGAGCGGCGAACGGGUGAGUAACACGUGAGCAACCUGCCCUCAGCUCCGGGAUAGCUCCGGGAAACCGGAAUUAAUACCGGAUAUGAUCACGGCCGACAUCGGCCGUGAUGGAAAGGAUUUCCGGCUGAGGAUGGGCUCGCGGCCUAUCAGCUAGUUGGUGGGGUAACGGCCUACCAAGGCGACGAGGAAUAGCCGGCUUGAGAGGGCGACCGGCCACACUGGGACUG